AUUGAACGCUGGCGGCAUGCCUUACACAUGCAAGUCGAACGGCAGCACGGAGCUUGCUCUGGUGGCGAGUGGCGAACGGGUGAGUAAUAUAUCGGAACGUACCCUAGAGUGGGGGAUAACGUAGCGAAAGUUACGCUAAUACCGCAUACGAUCUAAGGAUGAAAGUGGGGGAUCGCAAGACCUCAUGCUCGUGGAGCGGCCGAUAUCUGAUUAGCUAGUUGGUAGGGUAAAAGCCUACCAAGGCAUCGAUCAGUAGCUGGUCUGAGAGGACGACCAGCCACACUGGAACUGAGACACGGUCCAGACUCCUACGGGAGGCAGCAGUGGGGAAUUUUGGGCAAUGGGCGAAAGCCUGAUCCAGCAAUGCCGCGUGAGUGAAGAAGGCCUUCGGGUUGUAAAGCUCUUUUGUCAGGGAAGAAACGGUGAGAGCUAAUAUCUUUUGCUAAUGACGGUACCUGAAGAAUAAGCACCGGCUAACUACGUGCCAGCAGCCGCGGUAAUACGUAGGGUGCAAGCGUUAAUCGGAAUUACUGGGCGUAAAGCGUGCGCAGGCGGUUUUGUAAGUCUGAUGUGAAAUCCCCGGGCUCAACCUGGGAAUUGCAUUGGAGACUGCAAGGCUAGAAUCUGGCAGAGGGGGGUAGAAUUCCACGUGUAGCAGUGAAAUGCGUAGAUAUGUGGAGGAACACCGAUGGCGAAGGCAGCCCCCUGGGUCAAGAUUGACGCUCAUGCACGAAAGCGUGGGGAGCAAACAGGAUUAGAUACCCUGGUAGUCCACGCCCUAAACGAUGUCUACUAGUUGUCGGGUCUUAAUUGACUUGGUAACGCAGCUAACGCGUGAAGUAGACCGCCUGGGGAGUACGGUCGCAAGAUUAAAACUCAAAGGAAUUGACGGGGACCCGCACAAGCGGUGGAUGAUGUGGAUUAAUUCGAUGCAACGCGAAAAACCUUACCUACCCUUGACAUGGCUGGAAUCCCGGAGAGAUUUGGGAGUGCUCGAAAGAGAACCAGUACACAGGUGCUGCAUGGCUGUCGUCAGCUCGUGUCGUGAGAUGUUGGGUUAAGUCCCGCAACGAGCGCAACCCUUGUCAUUAGUUGCUACGAAAGGGCACUCUAAUGAGACUGCCGGUGACAAACCGGAGGAAGGUGGGGAUGACGUCAAGUCCUCAUGGCCCUUAUGGGUAGGGCUUCACACGUCAUACAAUGGUACAUACAGAGCGCCGCCAACCCGCGAGGGGGAGCUAAUCGCAGAAAGUGUAUCGUAGUCCGGAUUGUAGUCUGCAACUCGACUGCAUGAAGUUGGAAUCGCUAGUAAUCGCGGAUCAGCAUGUCGCGGUGAAUACGUUCCCGGGUCU
rnacentral:rRNA from 1 species